rnacentral:rRNA from 1 species
UGGGGAAUUUUGCACAAUGGGGGAAACCCUGAUGCAGCGACGCCGCGUGAUUUAGAAGGCCUUCGGGUUGUAAAAAUCUUUUGUAUGGGAAGAAAAUGACAGUACCAUACGAAUAAGGACCGGCUAAUUACGUGCCAGCAGCCGCGGUAAUACGUAAGGUCCGAGCGUUGUCCGGAAUCAUUGGGCGUAAAGGGUACGUAGGCGGAUAAGCAAGUUAGAAGUGAAAUCCUAUAGCUCAACUACAGUAAGCUUUUAAAACUGCUCAUCUUGAGAUAUGGAAGGGAAAGUGGAAUUCCUAGUGUAGCGGUGAAAUGCGCAGAUAUUAGGAGGAAUACCGGUGGCGAAGGCGACUUUCUGGCCAUAAUCUGACGCUGAGGUACGAAAGCGUGGGUAGCAAACAGG